AUGUGCAAUGCAUGGAAGCGGUACGACUCUAUGAGGAUCAACUGGGCGACAUGGCUGGAUCCAAUGCUAACAAACUGCAAGGGUUUCUGGCAAAUGGUGACAAACUGCUACCAACAGAAAGAAAAGAACAGUCAUGCGGGAGCUACUACGUUUGAAGAGUAUGAAAUGCAUGACUUGACUCGAAGCCGGAAAGCAGUCCAGAGAACAGUUCAACCUUUGAAAAGUUCUCUCUGUCCGUUCCAGAUGUCUUGCUUGAGGUUCUUCCUAGGUCGUUCGGUAAUACCCAGAAGUAAGAAAAGAAUGGGAUGUGUGCAUUUUCGUAGUGACACAAGAAGCAUCUUGUGA
rnacentral:rRNA from 1 species